rnacentral:tRNA from 1 species
AGGCUUAUAGUUCAGAGGUAGAACGUACCGCUCAUAACGGUUUUGCCGCAAGUUCAAUUCUUGCUAAGCCUA